CAGCGAGCUGUCACAACUGCACUCUGGUGCAACUUUCUUGUUUUCUCUCUCAAAUUUGGGGUCUGGUUGUCCACCUCGAGCCAUGUGAUGUUGGCUGAAGUUAUUCAUUCAGUUGCAGAUUUUGCAAACCAGGCUCUUCUUGCUUAUGGUUUAAGUAGCUCACGCCGUGCACCAGAUGCUCUCCAUCCAUAUGGUUAUUCCAAGGAACGGUUUGUCUGG